AAGGGCCUUCCCUUUUGGUUAGCCUCCCACAUGUAGGCUGAAGAUUGCAAUGUCUGUGGGAGCCUUUGCAUAGAAGGAGCUUAAUUCGAUGUCAUUGGCCAACUUCUUCCCUGCCUGCAUUCAAACCUGUUUGCCUGGAAUGACUGAUAUAUGCUCGGUCGCUCCUGUUCAGAAGUUCAGAAAGGCUAAUUCGGAGCAACCUGCAGCCUUUUCCCUAUUUUUGUUUUUUUUUUCUUGACUUGGAAGAUUAAGCGAGAAACUUCGAUUGUCCUUUUUCUUCGGUUCUUCCUGAUCUCCCGAGACAGAUUAUUAUAGUCACUGAGAUAAUUUAUUUAUUUAUUUUUUUAAAUCUCUACUGAGGCUGAUGAAAGAUCAAAGGACUCUUGAAGCACUGGGCAGUCCUAUUUCAUCCUGAGCUUCUGGAAGAGUUGCUACAGCAACCAUCUCUUUCUCUGUGAAUCAAGAUUCAACAGAGUCUCUGCUUUUUCUUUUUCUUUUCUUUUUCUUUUUGGGACUGAUUUGGCUUUAACCAUCCUCCGAGUCCCCCUUGGCAGAGUUUUUGAGUUCCUUCAUCUAUUCCAGGUCAGGAGGAUGCACACAUUGGUGGCAGAAGGAAACCCUGCAUCGGAGUGACAACAGCAAUCUUGUUUUAAAAGCCCGGGGCGUUAGAGAUCUGUUUUCACCGGCUUUGAGAAGACCGCUUCGAUCUCCGCGAUACGUAUUUUGAGGGAACUUCGGAAGAAGAGACGCGUAAGAGGUCGAAGUAGCAGGAGGAACAGCCGCCACGUCUUGGCGACCGGGGUGAAGAAGGAUGUGGUGUAACCAGCGUUGUGGCUUGCUGGCCGUGGCAAUCGUCGGGGCAGUGCUGGCUAUCCUUGGAGGAGUGAUGAUCCCGGUUGGAAAUCACAUGGUGGAGAAGACAAUCAAAAGGGUAAGAGACAUCCACCGUCCCUUCUAUU